rnacentral:tRNA from 1 species
AUAAACAUAUAAAUGCUUAAGUAAAAGUUAGAAGCUUUUUUUUUAAAUAUUUCUUU